CCACGGCGCCAGCUUAGGCGCCGUGGUUUUAGUAGGGAUCCCAGCUCACAAAGCCGGGGUCACACUCUGAAAAUUUGAUGACCAGCAGGAGCAUCCGGAAUAUCCGGAACUAUCUGCGCGGUCCGUAGUGGCUUUACCUGAGUCGCUGCUUCAGAACUUGGGAAGUCAUGCUGCGGUCUCCACGCUGGUGGUGUCUCCUUAUCGAAGGUGACCA
rfam:Pseudomonas balearica DSM 6083 genome assembly, contig: Ga0056079_103